rnacentral:lncRNA from 10 species
CUAAGAUGUACCAUCUCAUCCUUCACUCCAUAAAAAGAGAAGGACAGAAUUAAACAUGGGGACAGAUGAAGAAGUAAAGAAGAUGAAAAUGAGGAAGAUAAAAAACAAACUGAAGGUAAUUAAGCAAUUGCUGGAAGAAGGACUAGACGAAGGAAAAUUGAAUUGGAGACUAUUAUUCUAAGAGAUGUAACUCAGGAAUGGAAAACCAAACAUCGUGUGCUCUCACUUAUAAGUGGGAGCUAAGCUAUAAGGAUGCAAAGGCAUAAGAAUGAGACAAUGGACUUGGGGGACUCGGGGGAAAGUGUGGGAGGGGGUGAGGGAUAAAAGACUACACAUUGGGUACUGUGUAUCCUGCUCGGGUGAUGGGUGCACCAAGAUCUCAGAAAUCACCACUAAAGAACUUGUUCAUGUAACCAAACACCAGCUGUUCCCCAAGAAACCUACUGAAAUAAAAAAAAAAUCAAUUAAAAAAUAGAAAAAGAAAGGAUGGAACAGAACAAGGGAAUGAAAGAAGGACCUAGAAGAAAUGAAAUAGG